GACGUAGGGCGCGAGCGUUGUCCGGAUUUAUUGGGCGUAAAGAGCUCGUAGGCGGCUCGUUGCGUCAACCGUGAAAACCCGCGGCUCAACUGUGGGCGGGCAGCUGAUACGGGCAGGCUGGAGUUCGGUAGGGGAGACUGGAAUUCCUGGUGUAGCGGUGAAAUGCGCAGAUAUCAGGAGGAACACCGGUGGCGAAGGCGGGUCUCUGGGCCGAUACUGACGCUGAGGAGCGAAAGCGUGGGGAGCGAACAGG
rnacentral:rRNA from 1 species